rnacentral:rRNA from 1 species
UACGUAGGGCGCAAGCGUUGUCCGGAAUUAUUGGGCGUAAAGAGCUCGUAGGCGGUUUGUCGCGUCUGCCGUGAAAGUCCGGGGCUCAACUCCGGAUCUGCGGUGGGUACGGGCAGACUAGAGUGAUGUAGGGGAGACUGGAAUUCCUGGUGUAGCGGUGAAAUGCGUAGAUAUCAAGUGGAACACCAGUGGCGAAGGCGAGUCCCUGGACAACUCCUGACACUGAGGCACGAAAGCUAGGGGAGCAAACAGG